rnacentral:rRNA from 1 species
UACGUAGGGGGCAAGCGUUGUCCGGAAUCAUUGGGCGUAAAGCGCAUGUAGGCGGUCCGGUAAGUCCGCUGUGAAAGUCGGGGGCUCAACCCUCGGAUGCCGGUGGAUACUGUCGGGCUUGAGUACGGAAGAGGCGAGUGGAAUUCCUGGUGUAGCGGUGAAAUGCGCAGAUAUCGGGAAGAACACCCGUGGCGAAGGCGGCUCUCUGGGACGGUACUGACGCUGAGACGCGAAAGCGUGGGGAGCGAACAGG